CCUACGGGAGGCAGCAGUGGGGAAUAUUGGACAAUGGGCGAAAGCCUGAUCCAGCAAUGCCGCGUGAGUGAUGAAGGCCUUCGGGUCGUAAAGCUCUUUUACCCGGGAAGAUAAUGACUGUACCGGGAGAAUAAGCCCCGGCUAACUCCGUGCCAGCAGCCGCGGUAAUACGGAGGGGGCUAGCGUUGUUCGGAAUUACUGGGCGUAAAGCGUACGUAGGCGGUUAUUCAAGUCAGAGGUGAAAGCCCGGGGCUCAACCCCGGAACUGCCUUUGAAACUAGAUAGCUAGAAUCUUGGAGAGGUCAGUGGAAUUCCGAGUGUAGAGGUGAAAUUCGUAGAUAUUCGGAAGGACACCAGUGGCGAAGGCGACUGACUGGACAAGUAUUGACGCUGAGGUACGAAAGCGUGGGGAGUAAACAGGAUUAGAUACCCUGGUAGUCCACGCCGUAAACGAUGAUAACUAGCUGUUCGGGCACUUGGUGCUUGAGUGGCGCAGCUAACGCAUUAAGUUAUCCGCCUGGGGAGUACGGUCGCAAGAUUAAAACUCAAAGGAAUUGACGGA
rnacentral:rRNA from 1 species